rnacentral:rRNA from 1 species
UACAGGGGGUGCAAACGUUGCUCGGAAUUAUUGGGCGUAAAGAGCUCGUAGGCGGUUUGUUACGUCGGAUGUGAAAACCCGAGGCUUAACCUCGGGCCUGCAUUCGAUACGGGCAGACUCGAGUGUGGUAGGGGAGACUGGAACUCCUGGUGUAGCGGUGAAAUGCGCAGAUAUCAGGAAGAACACCGGUGGCGAAGGCGGGUCUCUGGGCCACUACUGACGCUGAGGAGCGAAAGCGUGGGGAGCGAACAGG